CUCUCUCUCUCUCUUUCUCUUUAUAUAUUAAAAAAAUAUUAAUAUUAAAAAUAUUAUAUUAAAAAAGAAAUAUUUAAAAAAGGUAUUUUUUUUAGAUAUUUAUGCUUUCUUCAGAUGAAGGUCCGCGUGAUCUUCGCUUACACAUUAUCAUGAGAGAAUAUAUAGUUAAAACUAAAAGAUUUGGUUAAGAUGAAAGAUCAAAUAAAAUAUUAAAAUAAAAAUAAAAAUCUUUUCACAGCACUGAAAGAAAAGAGAAGAAUUAAUUCUCCCUCGUUUUAAUUAUAUGAAAUAAAUAUAAAAAAUAGGUAAUCGCAUUUGGUGCGCAUACACCAGUGCUGUUGAAAAGAUUUUUAUUUUUAUUUUCUUUGAUCUUUCUUUUUAACCAGAUCUUCCUUUAACUGUAUAAUCUUUCAUGAUGAUGUAUAACGGAAGAUCACGCGGAUCUUCAUCUGAAGAAAGCAUUAAUAUCUGAAGAGAAUAUACUUUUUAAAUAUAUUUUCUUUGAUAUAAGGAGAAAGAUAGAAGGAGAAAAGAGAAACAUUAAAGUAAACUUUAAUAUUAUAUUUCCAUGUAUUGUCGCAAGUACGUAUUUAGAUAGUGUAGGAUAUUUUGCAAUUUUGAACAAAAGACGAAUAAGUAAACAGACGGAUGAUGCCGUGUCGGCUGAGAAGCCGGCUUUCACGCGAGCGACACGUGAUAGCAGGCAUAACGCGUUUCGGCGCCGUGAGCUCGAUCAGUUGAUUAGCUGAUCGAGCAAUUCUUGUAAACACUUUUUCAGCGUGGCUGUUUUUUCCGGACUAUGCUCACACAUGUCCCAAUAGGAUCUCACCAACAGGUUACAAAAGCGGGAUAUAAAUUUAUAAUGCGAAUGAAGAGAACAGAGUCAGAGAAAAAGAGAGAAAGGGAUCAGAGUUGCAUUAAUUGCGUUGCGCGAACGCGGGAUCUGAGGACCGUGUGAGCAACUCUGUAACUAAUAAAGAGACGUAUUUGGGAGGAUAAAAAACUGAGUAUUUUGAGUCAGGCUUUUUCCCUUCUGCAAUCCUACAAAAAUUUGGGGGCUCGUUCAGGAUUAGAAUUUGGUCAACUGGAUCAUUUGCGAGCGAGAGGGACGGCGAUCAUUUUUGAGUGUGAGGAUGAGCGCGAAAGAUCCGUCGGACCUUACGACCAAUUGAAGGAGAGGUUGCGAGGGCUGGGUUUAUCUAUGACGGGAAAUAAGGCCGAGUUGAUUGCUCGCUUAAAUGAGACGGAUCCACCGGGAAAGUGGAUGGAAGAGAUUUCCCAUAUGGUGAAGACUGGCACGACGGCGCGAGAGGACAUGAGUGAGUUGGAUGCUGGAGAAUUAGUUGAGCGCAACAUGAGAUGACGAGACGAGGAGACUCCCAGGACUUUUCAAGGUUAAGCCUUACAGGUAUAGCAGAUUUACUCAGUUGCUUUGACGGCAAUAACGGUGAAAAUUACGAAAAACUAGGAAAAACAACUCAGACUGAUACGAACGAUGUACCGUUUGCCGGACGGGCAUACGAAGAUCCUAAUAGGAAUGCGAUUAAGAGGAAAGGUUUCGGAGUGGCUACAAUCCAGACCGGAACAUAUCGAGCUGUCGGUGGAUGACCUUUUGGAUGGACUGCGAUAGAUGUUUAACCAUCAGCUUGGCAGAGUGAUGCUGAGGAAGCAGUUCGAGGAACGCGUAUAGAGGAAGGAUGAGACGUUUUACCAGUAUGUACACGAAAAAGUAAUUCUGGGUAAUCGUGUACCGAUCAGUGAGGAUGAGCUGGUCGAUUACCUUAUCGACGGGAUAUCCGUGGCAAGCUUGAGGGAUCAAGUUCGUAUCAGUGGUAUUGCAACAAAAUCUUCACUGCUACACGCUUUCAGUGUGACGCUGCGGGAUGGAGCUUCGACGAGCGGCGCGCGAGGACCGGCGCAGCGACGGCUGCGACGAGAUGAGGGAGAUGUACCGAGAAGCGAUAGCCCUCGUGGACACCGUGAGCGAUAUUUGCUUUAAUUUAACGCGAACUUAACCGUAGACGGACACGUAUAUCCUAUUCUUGUUGGUCGUGUCGAACACUUCGUUAAACUAUGAUUAGCUUAUUGGUACCGACUUCCUGAACGGCGUCGAGGUGACGAUGAGAGCUGGCGAGAUUUCGAUGAGGCCGUUGUUAGAGUCAUCAUGCGUGGACGAAGGCGUGCCCGAAAUUUUUUAAAUUAACAUAAACUUUAACAAAACCGAUAAUAUCGACGUAGCGCUUUCGGAUUCGGAUUGCCAAUACAAAAUUAGAAAUUUAGUAGACACUUACGACUCUGUUAGGUCGCGCGACAUAAAUUUAAAAAUGACCAUAAUUUUAAAAGACAAAGAACCCUUGUACCAGCGAGCUAGGCGGCUAUCGGUAACGGAGAGAAAACAAGUUAACAUACAAGUUGAGGAAUGGUUAGGUGAGGGCAUUAUACAGCUGCCUCUGUCCGAGUACGCGAAUUCGAUUGUCCUGGCAAAAAAGAAAGACGGCUCCGUGAGAUUAUGCGUCGAUUACCGGCAGUUGAAUAAAAAGACUAUUAGAGAUCGCUACCCGUUGUCGUUAAUAGAAGACCAGUUAGAUCUGUUGCAAAGCGCUAGAUUUUUUAGUACGCUCGAUUUGAAAAACGACUUCUUUUACAUUCCGAUCGACGAGCAAAGUCGCAAGUACACAGCCCUUAUUGUCCCUGACGGACAUUAUGAAUUUUAGCGUGCUCCGUUCGGUCUGUACAAUUCUCCGGCCGUGUUCCAUCGUUUCAUAAUAUUGUGUAUUUCAUAAUUCAUUGUGUGCGUUUCAUAGAAAUCUCGUGCAGAGAAAAAUGGUGUUGACAUAUAUGGAUGACUUGAUAAUUCUGUCUACAGAUUGUGAGAGCGAGAUAGAGAAUCUCGGAAUUGUAUUGAAAACUGCGAGGCUGAGUUAUUAGUUAACUGGAGGAAAUGUGGAUUUUUGAAAGUGUGUGUGGAAUUUCACGGUCUUGUUAUAGAAGAAGGGCGGGUAUAUCCUCCUCAAAAUAAGGUGAAGGCGGUCCAAACAUUUCCUGAACCUAUUAAUAUUAAACAGGUGCAAAGCUUCUUGGGAUUAAGCGGAUAUUUCCAAAAAUUUAUACCUCGAUAUUCCGUCAUAGCACGUCCACUAAGCGAUUUGUUAAAAGCGGGCAUUCCACUUGUUUUCAGUGAGCGCGAAAGGGAUGCGUUUGUUCGGUUAAAGGAAACGCUGAGCGACUAGCUCGUGUUAAGUUUAUACACGAUAGGUGCGGCGACCGAGUUGCACACUGACGCGUCAAUGCAUGGGUAUGGGGCAAUACUUUUACAAAAAAGGACAAAGGAUGAUGCGUUUCAUUCUGUCUAUUAUAGUAGGAAUAAGACUACUGCGGCCGAGCAGAAAUAUCCGAGUUACGAGUUAGAAGUACUGGCAAUUUGUAACCAUCCGUCCGAACGACAUCGUAAAAGUUACCAAGGAGUUACCAUAAGGUAACUCUCGAUAGAGUACACCCGCGCUCGAGGGGUCGCCAGACCGAAAUCGCAUUCGUGCGACUUAAUCACCUCCUACAGAGGCAGGGCACCGCAGUGCCCUGAGACCGCGAUACUGCACCCGCUAGAUACGCGCGGACAACGCCAAACGUGACGGCUCAACCGCUGCACGGCAUCACGCAUUAGAAGAACUGUCAAUCUCUCGCCGAAUAAUGGAUCUCGCCGCCACAAGAUUUAAAGAUCCGAAUAUGAACAUCUCGCCACGAGCGCGAGACAAUCAACGCGUCACAACACCGACCGCGUCCCGCGGCCACCAGCGGCCCCGACGUUUCCGAACCGUCAGCGACAAAGAUAAACAGACUCGCACGGCGAGCAAAAACUCAACCAUCAAACCAACGACGUCGAGAAGCCUUGUAAAUACGCAUUGUACAUAGCCAGCUGAGUUAGAAUAAAUAGCAUUUAAUACCUAUACCACUGUUUCCACAUUUAUUACAUCUGCCAUGCACGGACCACACCGACUCGUAGCAUAUCCCGCACCAAACGCAAAAUAGCGUUACAAAUUAUUAGAGCUCUAAAAAAAUAUUGUAUUUACUUUUUGGGGAUUUUUUUACUAUCGUGACCGACUGUCGCGCGUUCGCGGCGACUAUGAAUAAAAAAGACUUAUGUAUACGCGUGGCGCGAUGGGCUCUGCUAUUAGAGAAAUUUAAUUAUAAAAUCAAGCAUCGCCUGGGUAAGAACAUGAUGUACGUGAAUGCACUAAGUCGUCAGCCAGUCUCGUUGUGUAAUUUGAUUGGAGCGCGAGAAGACGGAUUGGCGGUCAAAUUAAAAAAUGCGCAAAAAAAAGUUGACGAUGUAAAGAGGAUUUUCGAUCGCGCGGAAUAAAAUAAGAUUGACGGUUAUAUUAUUAGAGGCGGCCUGCUUUGCAAGGAGAGCGACGGUGAUUUGCUUGUUGUGGUGCUGAGAUCCAUGCAACACAGAUUAUCCGUCAAGUAUAUGAAAGAGGUCACUUCUCCGUAGCGAAAAUAGAAGCUAUUCUGCAACGUGAUUAUUGGAUUCCGAAAGCUAAGCCUAAAAUUGAAAAUGUGAGGAAUUGCAUCGCAUGUAUACAGGCGGAGAAAAAGCAGGAAAAGCCAGAAGGAUUUCUGAACCCAAUAGUGAAAGGGGAUGUUCCUUUAGAUACUUAUCAUAUUGAUCACUUAGGACCACUUCCCUCUACUAAGAAAAAAUAUAAUCAUAUACUCGUAGUGGUCGACUCUUUCAUAAAAUUUAUAUGACUGUAUGCGACUAAGACUAUGAAUACAGCCGAGGUUUUAAGCUUAAAGAACAGUCGGUAAUCCGCGCAGAAUUAUUUCAGACCGAGGAACGGCAUUCACUUCGAACGAUUUUUCUGACUAUUGUGCGGAGGAAAUUGAGCAUAUUUUGACGAUCACCGGAAUAUCGAGAACUAACGGGCAGGUGGAAAGAGUUAAUAAUUAUUAUACUUCUAUUGACAAAGCUUGCGAAUCCGAGGUGGGAGGAAUGGUACAAGCACUUAGAAUUUGUCCAAUAAUGUAUUAAUACCACGAUAAGUCGGAGCACGAAUAUUAGUCCGUUCCGCUUAUUAUUCGGCGUACAUGCGCGACUGCGGGACGAUCCUGAGAUUCGCAGAUUGUUAGAAAGGGAAUGGGCUGAGGCUUUCCAGGACGAGCGCGACGAAUUGAGUGAACAAGCAAGGGAGCAUAUAAAAAUGGUUUAGCGCGAAAAUAAACGUGGUUAUGACCAAAACAGGGUGGUUACUGCAAAAUAUCGGGAAGGAGAUUUGGUGGCAAUCAGACGAACGCGGCAAGGACCUGGUUUAAAAUUAGCGACCAAGUACCUCGGGUCUUAUCAAAUAAUUCGGGUGUUACGUAACGAUCGGUACCUGGUGCAGCGAGAAGGCGAGUUUGAGGGGCCUUUCAGGACCUCAACCGCUGCGGACUAUAUGAAACCGUGAGCACCUAGAAUGUCCGACGACGAGGAGACAAGCGAUGGCGAGGAGUGAUAUUCGGUCGGAUAUCGCUGCAGGAUGGCCGAGUGUAGGAUAUUUGAGAUUUUGAACAAAAGACGAAUAAGUUAACAGGCGGAUGAUGCCGCGUCGGCUGAGAAGCCGACUCUCACGCGAGCAGUGAUAGCAGACAUAACGCAUUUAGGCGCCGCAAGCUCGAUCAACUGAUCAGCUGAUCGAGCAAUACUUGUAAAUACUUUUUCAGCGUGGCUGUUUUUUCCGGAUUAUGCUCACACGUGUCCCAAUAGUAUCUCACCAACAGGUUACGAAAGUGGGAUAUAAAUGUAUGAUGCGAUCGAAGAAAACAGAGGCAGAGAAAAAGAAAGAAAGAGAUCAGAGUUGCAUUAGUUGCGUUGCGUGAGCGCGAGAUCUGAGGGCCGUGUGAGUAACUCUGUAACUAAUAAAGAGACGUAUUUAUGAGGACAAAAAACUGAGUAUUGUGUCAGGCCUUCUCCCUCCUGCAAUCUUAUAAUAGCAUUUAGCUAUUGUACAUUUAGCAUUUAACAAUGUAAUUGUUUACAUUGUCAAGUGGCAAUUUAUAACUGUUUUAUUAUUGUUAUCUCGUGUAUGGUGGUACAUUAUUCAACAAAUUUAUUGUAGAUCUCUUUGUAGUGUACUUCCAAUUAAAAUAAUUAAUAAUUAAAUAUAUUGGGUUGCAAAUGGAGCACCCCGUUAAGAAAACAACAUUUCGUGCUGUAUUUCUGCCGUGUUUCUGUUGUUACGUUUGAACGACACGUGAUAAAUUUCUACUGUGUUUCUGCCAUUACGUUCGAGUGGCACGUCGUGAUCGAUUUCUGCCGCAUUUCUGCUGUCUCAUAAUGUUAUUUAAUUAAUUUGAUUUCUAAUGCCUUUUUGUUCGCAUAAUUUGACAUCAUUCUUUGUUCGAUUUUAUGUUGCUUCAUGUCGAAAAAUCAUGUUUGCACUUAAUAUUUAAAUUUUUCUCUUGCUAUGCUCUGUGACGUGGCGGUUUCGCUGUCACCAAAUUAGUACUUAUAACUGGGAGACGAGGAAAGCUGUGCUCGCGCCCCCUUCUCCCGCGGGAAAGGCAGCAGCGAAAAAUUUAGUCUCGCACGCCUUUGCGUGCGGGAGCGCGCGUUCUACAUUUUUGUUUUGUUUUGUGUGUUUUGCUCCUGCGGCAGGCUACCGGUACCGGGAUGGAGCGACGGCGGACUUGGAACUAGCGACGAGCCAACGGGCCAGGAUCCACUCCUUCGCUAGCAUAAGCGAAGGGGGGCCCCAGCUAACUUGACGCGGGUCGCGAAGAAAGGCUGGACAUUGAGGAUCCGAUCCCGGGGGACGCCCUGGGAUACGGGACAUUUCCGGCAGCCACCGGCGCGAUCGCGCAAGUCGAGGAUGCCGUCGGGCACAGGAGUCCGUCGACGAAGAAUACAGAAAAUUCGGCGGCGUCGCGCGGGCCCUGUAAGGCGCCCGCGCUAGAGCCGUACGCUCCAGCAGGACCAAUAGGACCUAGCGGCUAUCGGCGGCGAAGAUCGCGAGCCGAGGGAGCCUCGCGCUCGCGGAAAAUUCGUCACUGUGCGGAUAGCGAGCGACGCGAAACCUUAGGCGAGCGCAGCAGGACAACGAGUGAGCGAGCGAGCACAGCGGCGGAGUCAUAGACCGAGAGCGAGAACGAGAGCGGGGCGAGAGCAGCGGGGGAGAUUGGUGAGCCGUCCUCAGCCUACAGUUCAGCACUCGGGUACCUCGAGAUCGGGGUGGUUGCCGUCGCUUCCCGACGGCAACCGGAAAGGUUCCUCGCCGCCUUUUGAAGAGUCAGACGAGCUCGCUACCGCGGAUUAAAGCUAGCGAGACCGCGGAAAUUUAGUCGUCCUUCCCACUUUGUCUGCCGCCUCUUUACCGCGUUCGCGACUGCACAGGACGGUGAGCGACUUACGUAUUUCUUGUGACUGCGCGCGUUGUAACACGGAUAUGCGGGUCUCCGAGGGCGACGGAACACGCGUUGGUGAGCUCUGUCGCGCGUCGGGGAAACCGAGGUCGUAACCGCGGCAUCUCGGGAAAUUCGGCCGCUGUCGCGGGCGGAAUCUUAGAAAUAGAAUUGGGGUCACAGCUCAUAUAUGGUGCCUUAUUUUUGUACUAUUUAUGCCAUAUCAUGACGCAGAUUCUGUUAGAUUUCUGUUACAUUUGUACACGCACUAUCUGACAUAUCAGAUAGUGUAUCAUACUUUGUUAUUGUCUAAAUUAUGUCAACAUAGUGUGCAGCACAGACUUAGUAAAACCUGACUUUUGCAGGCUUGGCUAUCUAGGGAUUAAAGAAAAGCAAAUUGAAAAGUUGAAGGAUGAAUUUCUCCGGUAAAAAAUAAUAGCUUCAAUAGUACAACUACCACUGUCACCACCAUCACAUGUAUCAACAACUACAGUACCUUCAGCAGCUGCAGUUGCUUCUAUUCCAUUACCACUAUCGUCACCAAAGUCUUCAUCAGCAACAGCAUAAUCGUUUUGUCAGUUAUCGUGUUACCAUCAUCAUUACUACUACUACCACCACCGCCACUACCACUACCAUCAAAGAUAAAACAUGCAGCAAUUAUACAGUCAAGAUCAAGACCGGCAAGGUGGUAGAGAGCUGGUAUUCGAGGAUCGGCAAGAAGGUAAAGGGGAGGAAAUUAUCAUCGUGGAAAAGGAACAUGGUGGAAAGGUGGGCGGGGUAAUAGCAUCUACAGUAAAGGAGUAAUAAAACAAUAUUAUUUCUCAUAAUUUAUGAAAUGUAUUGUAAUUAUUUAUAAAACUUAAUUAAUAAUCAUAAUCAUUAACUUAAUUAUAAUCAUUAUAAAACAAAAAGCUAUAUUUUUAUAAUAAAAUAAUUAAUAACUUUGAAAUUUGUGAAUAAUAUUACUUUAUUUACAAGAAAGUACACAUUACAUCUAUGAGAAAGAUUAUAAUAUCUAUCAUAAACUUUCUCUUAGAUAGCAUUCAUGGUGUUUAUGUGUGUGUUUUUGUAAUAUUUAUAUAUUUUUUGAUUUUUUACAUUUACAGAUAACCGAGGAAGAUAUAAUAGUAAUUAAAUUAUUUGGAAAUUUAGAAAAACAACAAAUUAAGAUAUAAUUAUGUUACUUGCAACAAUAUGAAAUAUAGGUAUCAAAAAAACCAAAUAGCAUACAAUAUUUCUAAAAUACUUUAGAAAUAUAUUGUUACGUUCUGGA